rnacentral:rRNA from 1 species
AUUGAACGCUGGCGGCAGGCCUAACACAUGCAAGUCGAGCGGUAGCACAGAGAGCUUGCUCUCGGGUGACGAGCGGCGGACGGGUGAGUAAUGUCUGGGAAACUGCCUGAUGGAGGGGGAUAACUACUGGAAACGGUAGCUAAUACCGCAUAACGUCGCAAGACCAAAGUGGGGGACCUUCGGGCCUCAUGCCAUCAGAUGUGCCCAGAUGGGAUUAGCUAGUAGGUGGGGUAAUGGCUCACCUAGGCGACGAUCCCUAGCUGGUCUGAGAGGAUGACCAGCCACACUGGAACUGAGACACGGUCCAGACUCCUACGGGAGGCAGCAGUGGGGAAUAUUGCACAAUGGGCGCAAGCCUGAUGCAGCCAUGCCGCGUGUGUGAAGAAGGCCUUCGGGUUGUAAAGCACUUUCAGCGGGGAGGAAGGCGUUAAGGUUAAUAACCUUGGCGAUUGACGUUACCCGCAGAAGAAGCACCGGCUAACUCCGUGCCAGCAGCCGCGGUAAUACGGAGGGUGCAAGCGUUAAUCGGAAUUACUGGGCGUAAAGCGCACGCAGGCGGUCUGUCAAGUCGGAUGUGAAAUCCCCGGGCUCAACCUGGGAACUGCAUUCGAAACUGGCAGGCUAGAGUCUUGUAGAGGGGGGUAGAAUUCCAGGUGUAGCGGUGAAAUGCGUAGAGAUCUGGAGGAAUACCGGUGGCGAAGGCGGCCCCCUGGACAAAGACUGACGCUCAGGUGCGAAAGCGUGGGGAGCAAACAGGAUUAGAUACCCUGGUAGUCCACGCCGUAAACGAUGUCGAUUUGGAGGUUGUGCCCUUGAGGCGUGGCUUCCGGAGCUAACGCGUUAAAUCGACCGCCUGGGGAGUACGGCCGCAAGGUUAAAACUCAAAUGAAUUGACGGGGGCCCGCACAAGCGGUGGAGCAUGUGGUUUAAUUCGAUGCAACGCGAAGAACCUUACCUGGUCUUGACAUCCACAGAACUUUCCAGAGAUGGAUUGGUGCCUUCGGGAACUGUGAGACAGGUGCUGCAUGGCUGUCGUCAGCUCGUGUUGUGAAAUGUUGGGUUAAGUCCCGCAACGAGCGCAACCCUUAUCCUUUGUUGCCAGCGGUUAGGCCGGGAACUCAAAGGAGACUGCCAGUGAUAAACUGGAGGAAGGUGGGGAUGACGUCAAGUCAUCAUGGCCCUUACGACCAGGGCUACACACGUGCUACAAUGGCAUAUACAAAGAGAAGCGACCUCGCGAGAGCAAGCGGACCUCAUAAAGUAUGUCGUAGUCCGGAUUGGAGUCUGCAACUCGACUCCAUGAAGUCGGAAUCGCUAGUAAUCGUAGAUCAGAAUGCUACGGUGAAUACGUUCCCGGGCCUUGUACACACCGCCCGUCACACCAUGGGAGUGGGUUGCAAAAGAAGUAGGUAGCUUAACCUUCGGGAGGGCGCUUACCACUUUGUGAUUCAUGACUGGGGUGA